rnacentral:rRNA from 1 species
UGGGGAAUUUUGGACAAUGGGCGAAAGCCUGAUCCAGCAAUGCCGCGUGUGUGAAGAAGGCCUUCGGGUUGUAAAGCACUUUUGUCCGGAAAGAAAUCCUUGGCUCUAAUACAGUCGGGGGAUGACGGUACCGGAAGAAUAAGCACCGGCUAACUACGUGCCAGCAGCCGCGGUAAUACGUAGGGUGCAAGCGUUAAUCGGAAUUACUGGGCGUAAAGCGUGCGCAGGCGGUUUGCUAAGACCGAUGUGAAAUCCCCGGGCUCAACCUGGGAACUGCAUUGGUGACUGGCAGGCUAGAGUAUGGCAGAGGGGGGUAGAAUUCCACGUGUAGCAGUGAAAUGCGUAGAGAUGUGGAGGAAUACCGAUGGCGAAGGCAGCCCCCUGGGGCCAAUACUGACGCUCAUGCACGAAAAGCGUGGGGGAGCAAACAGGAUUAGAUACCCUGGUAGUCCACGCCCUAAAACGAUGUCAACUAGUUGUUGGGGAUUCAUUUCCUUAGUAACGUAGCUAACGCGUGAAGUUGACCGCCUGGGGGAGUACGGUCGCAAGAUUAAAACUU